rnacentral:rRNA from 1 species
UACGGAAGGUGCGAGCGUUAAUCGGAAUUACUGGGCGUAAAGAGUACGUAGGCUGUUAGAUAAGUCGGAUGUGAAAUCCCCGGGCUCAACCUGGGAACUGCAUCCGAAACUAUUUAACUAGAGUAUGGGAGAGGUAAGUAGAAUUUCCGGUGUAGCGGUGAAAUGCGUAGAUAUCGGAAGGAAUACCAGUGGCGAAGGCG